GGGCCAUAGCCUAGUGGUAGAGUAACUGCUUUGUAUGCAGAAAGUUCCAAGUUCAAUUCCUGGCAUCUCCU